AUUGAACGCUGGCGGCAUGCCUUACACAUGCAAGUCGAACGGCAGCACGGGUGCUUGCACCUGGUGGCGAGUGGCGAACGGGUGAGUAAUACAUCGGAACAUGUCCUGUAGUGGGGGAUAGCCCGGCGAAAGCCGGAUUAAUACCGCAUACGAUCCACGGAUGAAAGCGGGGGACCUUCGGGCCUCGCGCUAUAGGGUUGGCCGAUGGCUGAUUAGCUAGUUGGUGGGGUAAAGGCCUACCAAGGCGACGAUCAGUAGCUGGUCUGAGAGGACGACCAGCCACACUGGGACUGAGACACGGCCCAGACUCCUACGGGAGGCAGCAGUGCGGAAUUUUGGACAAUGGGCGAAAGCCUGAUCCAGCAAUGCCGCGUGUGUGAAGAAGGCCUUCGGGUUGUAAAGCACUUUUGUCCGGAAAGAAAUCCUUGACUCUAAUACAGUCGGGGGAUGACGGUACCGGAAGAAUAAGCACCGGCUAACUACGUG
rnacentral:rRNA from 1 species